rnacentral:misc_RNA from 1 species
UAUAUAUAUGAGUGAAAAUUAUUAUUAUAUUAUAUUAAAAAUAAUUAAUAUAAUGCAUUUUAUGAUUUUAAUUUUUACUAUAUAUUUAUUUUAAAAAUAUCUUAGUAGGGUUGUAAACAAAUCAAGACGCUCAUGAGUUACUUAAUGCUUGGUUUGAUAAAAGCUCGGAUUGGCUUGAUUUGGCUCGUUAUUUAAAUGAGUUGAGCUCAAAUUAUAGGAUUGUUUAAUAAAUGAGCAGAGUUUGAGCUCACCAUUAUUUUGCCUGAGCUUGACUAGUUGGCUCAUGAGUUAGCUUGUUAAUUAGGCUUGCGAGCUGACUCAUUAAAUGGCCUCAUGAGUUGGCUUAUUAACUAGGCAUGUGAGUUGGCUUAUUUAUAAAAACAUUUAUAUUAAUUAUUGUAUUUGAUAAUGUUGUAAAUAUAAUUAUUUUAUUUAUGAUUAUUCUAUAGCUAAUAUAUUAAUUAAAAAUAUGAUACAAUCAAUAUAUAAACUAUAUUUAAAAAAAGUUAUUUAUACUUUAAAUUUAAGUUUUAAAAAAAUUUUGUACUCGAAAUAAAAUUAGAAUAUUAG